AGGGACUUAGGAUAAUGCAAAACCAAGGGCCUUCAAAGCCUUAAAUGGAGGUUAAAAUCCUCCAGACCCUG
rnacentral:tRNA from 1 species